rnacentral:rRNA from 1 species
GCUGGAAUCGCUAGUAAUCGCGGAUCAGAAUGCCGCGGUGAAUACGUUCCCGGGUCUUGUACACACCGCCCGUCACACCAUGGGAGUCGGAAAUGCCCGAAGUCUGUGACCCAACCGGAAGGAGGGAGCAGCCGAAGGCAGGUCGGAUGACUGGGGUGAAGUCGUAACAAGGUAAC